rnacentral:rRNA from 1 species
GAUUAACGCUGGCGGCGUGCAUAACACAUGCAAGUCGAACGAUGAAACUUAGUAGACUUCUUCGGAAAGACACUAAGCGGGUUAGUGGCGAACGGGUGAGUAACGCGUGAGUAACCUGCCUUACACAAGGGGAUAGCCUUUGGAAACGAAGAAUAAUACCCUAUAAAACCAUAAAAGCACAUGCUAGAAUGGUCAAAGUGCUAGCGGUGUAAGAUGGACUUGCGUCUGAUUAGCUAGUUGGUGAGAUAAAAGCUCACCAAGGCAACGAUCAGUAGCCGGCUUGAGAGAGUGUACGGCCACAUUGGGACUGAGACACGGGCCCAG